rnacentral:rRNA from 1 species
AUCGCGAGGUGAAGCAAAAUCCCCCAAAAAAGUAGUCUCAGUUCAGAUUGUAGGCUGCAACUCGCCUACAUGAAGUCGGAAUUGCUAGUAAUCGCGGAUCAGCAUGCCGCGGUGAAUACGUUCCCGGGCCUUGUACACACCGCCCGUCACACCAUGAGAGCCGGUAACACCCGAAGUCAGUAGCCUAACCGCAAGGGGGGCGCUGCCGAAGGUGGGAUUGGUAAUUGGGGUGAAGUCGUAACAAGGUAGC